UGUAUUCUAGAAUCAUGGAGACAGAUUCGUAAGUCUAGUCACGGGAGAAAUUCUAAGGAGGGGCCCCAAGUUCCAGAAUCAUCCCGUUUUCUCCUCUGCCUCACUUUGAGACUUAGACUCCUCUGCCUCACCUGUGAGAGGAAGGAUAGUGCUCCUUGUUGCUCCGCUAUGGUGAGGAAGUGAGACUGUGCCUUUAACACAACUUGUGUAAUGCCUGCUACAGAGUGUUUUCUAGAGUUGGAGAAAUAGGAAGAUUUUAUAAUGUUACUGCAGGAAUGAUUGGUAUAAGCUGAAUUCUCUUUUCACCUGUUUUAGUGGAGAUGUCUCUCACUUGCUACCUCUUCGGCCCCACUCUGUGAAUCUCAGUCUAGCAACGGCGCUGCCAUUAUGGAGCUCAAAACAAGAUCUGGAAGCACUGAGAGAAAUCUCAAAAUAAUUCCACCACAGGACAGUGGUUUCCUGAACACGAACGAUAUCAAGGCACUACCCACUCAAGCUGAGGGUCUGUUUCUUGCAUGACCUCUGAAUUACUCCAAAUAUAAUCUGGCCAGCACUAACACAGUUAGGGAAGCAGAGAACGAUAGUGGCUGAGUAAGAUGCUCCAGUGGUUGUCUCUUCAGAGAACCAAUUUGAAUCAUUAUUGAAGCACCAAGUCUCACCUUCACAAGAACAAUGAAGGCCAGAAAUCAUUGGUCACAAGCUGGUGUUGUGGCACGGAGGAUUAAGCUACUGCCUGUCACACCGGCCUUCAAUCUCAGAGUGCUGGUUUGAGUCCCAGUUGGCUGCUCUUCUUCUGACCCAGCUCCUUAUUACUGCACCUGGGAAAGCAGUGGAUGACAGGCCCUGCUGUGCCCCUGCUAUCCACACGGGAGACCUUGAUGGAGUUCUGGGCUCCUGGCUUUGGCCUGGAUUAUCCCCUGAUAUUGUGGCCAUUUGGGGAGUAAACUGGUGGAUGCAAGAUCUCUCUUUCUGUCUCUUCCUCUCUCUCUCAGUCUGCCUUUCAAAUAAAUAAGUAAACAAAUUUUAAAAAAUCAUUGGUCCCCAAAAUGUACAAAAAUCUCUUCUAGAUGUUAUGAUUCCAACUAAUAAAAACUUCACUUAUAAUUUCAAAAAUGGGAUAGAAAUUUACAGAAACAAAACAAUAAAAAUAAGUUUUUAUAGACAUUAUUAAUAUAAUGACUUUUUCUGUUAUUCAUACAAUAGGAACCACAAAAAUAUGUUUCUGAAUAUUAGAUCUUGAACUGGUCUUUCAGAAGGGAUUAGAUUCAUAUAACCAAGUAAGCAGGGGACAUGUGCAGCAAGGAAACCACAUUAGCAAACACAGGGACUAGAUAUAACGUGGUUCAGGGAACAGGGAGAAAACCAAACUGUAGGGUCUCCACAGAUGAUUAAUGGGAACUCAGUUCAAAGAGGGCAAGUGUAAUGCUUUUAAAAUUUAAUCAGUGCUCUCACCCAAUGAUAGUGAAGGUUAUGACUUUUUAGAAAUCUUUAAGAAAGUAGAGAAGUAGCAUGGUCAUACCCAACAGAGCUUCUUGGUCAUUAAUGUGAGCACUGACCCCUUGGAGAUCCUGUUAAAAUGCAAAUUCUGGUUCAGAAGUUUUCAAGUUGUGCCUGAGAUUUUACCUCCCUAAUAAGUUCCCAGAUGACGCCAAGACUGCCAAUUCUGGGUAAACCUCGAAUAACAACACUGAAUAGACAGACUCAGCUGUAGAACCUGGAAAUGAAGAAACUAAUUUAAAGUCUAAUGCUGAAAUUCUAAUACAAACAACAAAAAAAGUUAGUGACAGUGAGGAUGGAGGUAAAGCAUAGUUGUCAGAAAUGUUAACAAGGAUGAAGUGGUAAGUUAGAUAAUUUGUCAGAAUUGGGGAGAAUCACUGAAAAAACAUGCAUCCAUUUGCUUUUCUGUUUGUGGGAUUGAAAGCAUUUUAAUUUGAACAUAGAUUCUGGGGAGCAGCAUGGUUUGGAAGAAACAGCUGGUAUCUUUUUAGACAUUAUACUAAAUAUUAUGCCCAGACAUCCAGUGGGGUGAAAUGUGCCCAGGUCAUAUAGAUUGAGGAUACGAAAAUGAAGAAACCUGAGGAUUUCUGUUUUGAGAUAAUAAUUUAAGCUAGGGGGCUUCUGAAAUAAUCCAAGAAAAAUAAGUCACAAAGAAUGAAAGAGAAAUUAAAGAUAAUUCCUCUGUUUAAGAGAUAACAAAAGGAAAAAGAACAAUUAUCAAUGCAAUUGGCAGGUAUAGUUAGAAAUAGGGAGGAAGAAUUAACAAACAGCACAAAGUAAAGGGGUAGAAGUCAUUGAGAUGUCAAUUAGAAUCAGGGAAGCUAGGAGGCUUUUGAACUUGGGAGCCAGAAUAUUGUCAAUUACCUGAAAUCUGCAAGGCAGAUACCUUGUUUUCGUGAGAAUG